rnacentral:rRNA from 1 species
GGGUUGUGAGGUUAAGCGACUAAGCGUACACGGUGGAUGCCCUGGCAGUCAGAGGCGAUGAAGGGCGUGCUAAUCUGCGAUAAGCGCCGGUAAGGUGAUAUGAACCGUUAUAACCGGCGAUACCCGAAUGGGGAAACCCAGUGUGACUCGUCACACUAUCAUUAACUGAAUCCAUAGGUUAAUGAGGCGAACCGGGGGAACUGAAACAUCUAAGUACCCCGAGGAAAAGAAAUCAACCGAGAUUCCCCCAGUAGCGGCGAGCGAACGGGGAGGAGCCCAGAGCCUGAAUCAGCAUGUGUGUUAGUGGAAGCGUCUGGAAAGGCGCGCGAUACAGGGUGACAGCCCCGUACACAAAAGCGCAUGUGCUGUGAGCUCGAUGAGUAGGGCGGGACACGUGGUAUCCUGUCUGAAUAUGGGGGGACCAUCCUCCAAGGCUAAAUACUCCUGACUGACCGAUAGUGAACCAGUACCGUGAGGGAAAGGCGAAAAGAACCCCGGCGAGGGGAGUGAAAAAGAACCUGAAACCGUGUACGUACAAGCAGUGGGAGCACAGGUUUACCUGUGUGACUGCGUACCUUUUGUAUAAUGGGUCAGCGACUUAUAUUCUGUAGCAAGGUUAACCGAAUAGGGGAGCCGGAGGGAAACCGAGUCUUAAUUGGGCGUUAAGUUGCAGGGUAUAGACCCGAAACCCGGUGAUCUAGCCAUGGGCAGGUUGAAGGUUGGGUAACACUAACUGGAGGACCGAACCGACUAAUGUUGAAAAAUUAGCGGAUGACCUGUGGCUGGGGGUGAAAGGCCAAUCAAACCGGGAGAUAGCUGGUUCUCCCCGAAAGCUAUUUAGGUAGCGCCUCGUGAAUUCAUCUCCGGGGGUAGAGCACUGUUUCGGCUAGGGGGCCAUCCCGGCUUACCAACCCGAUGCAAACUGCGAAUACCGGAGAAUGUUAUCACGGGAGACACACGGCGGGUGCUAACGUCCGUCGUGAAGAGGGAAACAACCCAGACCGCCAGCUAAGGUCCCAAAGUCAUGGUUAAGUGGGAAACGAUGUGGGAAGGCCCAGACAGCCAGGAUGUUGGCUUAGAAGCAGCCAUCAUUUAAAGAAAGCGUAAUAGCUCACUGGUCGAGUCGGCCUGCGCGGAAGAUGUAACGGGGCUAAACCAUGCACCGAAGCUGCGGCAGCGAACGUAUCACUUAAAGCGAUUCAGCGGGUUACGAUUGACGGAGCGAAGCGACGUCAAAGCGUAUACAAAGUCGAGUCGGUUUAAGGAUACGUUCGUUGGGUAGGGGAGCGUUCUGUAAGCCUGUGAAGGUGGCCUGUGAGGGUUGCUGGAGGUAUCAGAAGUGCGAAUGCUGACAUAAGUAACGAUAAAGCGGGUGAAAAGCCCGCUCGCCGGAAGACCAAGGGUUCCUGUCCAACGUUAAUCGGGGCAGGGUGAGUCGACCCCUAAGGCGAGGCCGAAAGGCGUAGUCGAUGGGAAACGGGUUAAUAUUCCCGUACUUGGUGUUACUGCGAAGGGGGGACGGAGAAGGCUAUGUUGGCCGGGCGACGGUUGUCCCGGUUUAAGCGUGUAGGUGUGUGUUCCAGGUAAAUCCGGUUCACUUUAACACUGAGGCGUGAUGACGAGGCACUACGGUGCUGAAGCAACAAAUGCCCUGCUUCCAGGAAAAGCCUCUAAGCAUCAGGUAACAUCAAAUCGUACCCCAAACCGACACAGGUGGUCAGGUAGAGAAUACCAAGGCGCUUGAGAGAACUCGGGUGAAGGAACUAGGCAAAAUGGUGCCGUAACUUCGGGAGAAGGCACGCUGACACGUAGGUGAAGUGAUUUACUCAUGGAGCUGAAGUCAGUCGAAGAUACCAGCUGGCUGCAACUGUUUAUUAAAAACACAGCACUGUGCAAACACGAAAGUGGACGUAUACGGUGUGACGCCUGCCCGGUGCCGGAAGGUUAAUUGAUGGGGUCAGCGCAAGCGAAGCUCCUGAUCGAAGCCCCGGUAAACGGCGGCCGUAACUAUAACGGUCCUAAGGUAGCGAAAUUCCUUGUCGGGUAAGUUCCGACCUGCACGAAUGGCGUAAUGAUGGCCAGGCUGUCUCCACCCGAGACUCAGUGAAAUUGAACUCGCUGUGAAGAUGCAGUGUACCCGCGGCAAGACGGAAAGACCCCGUGAACCUUUACUAUAGCUUGACACUGAACAUUGAGCCUUGAUGUGUAGGAUAGGUGGGAGGCUUUGAAGUGUGGACGCCAGUCUGCAUGGAGCCGACCUUGAAAUACCACCCUUUAAUGUUUGAUGUUCUAACGUGGACCCGUAAUCCGGGUUGCGGACAGUGUCUGGUGGGUAGUUUGACUGGGGCGGUCUCCUCCUAAAGAGUAACGGAGGAGCACGAAGGUUGGCUAAUCCUGGUCGGACAUCAGGAGGUUAGUGCAAUGGCAUAAGCCAGCUUGACUGCGAGCGUGACGGCGCGAGCAGGUGCGAAAGCAGGUCAUAGUGAUCCGGUGGUUCUGAAUGGAAGGGCCAUCGCUCAACGGAUAAAAGGUACUCCGGGGAUAACAGGCUGAUACCGCCCAAGAGUUCAUAUCGACGGCGGUGUUUGGCACCUCGAUGUCGGCUCAUCACAUCCUGGGGCUGAAGUAGGUCCCAAGGGUAUGGCUGUUCGCCAUUUAAAGUGGUACGCGAGCUGGGUUUAGAACGUCGUGAGACAGUUCGGUCCCUAUCUGCCGUGGGCGCUGGAGAACUGAGGGGGGCUGCUCCUAGUACGAGAGGACCGGAGUGGACGCAUCACUGGUGUUCGGGUUGUCAUGCCAAUGGCACUGCCCGGUAGCUAAAUGCGGAAGAGAUAAGUGCUGAAAGCAUCUAAGCACGAAACUUGCCCCGAGAUGAGUUCUCCCUGAGACUUAGAGUCUCCUGAAGGAACGUUGAAGACGACGACGUUGAUAGGCCGGGUGUGUAAGCGCAGCGAUGCGUUGAGCUAACCGGUACUAAUGAACCGUGAGGCUUAACCUUACAACGCCGAAG